AUUGAACGCUGGCGGCAGGCCUAACACAUGCAAGUCGAACGAGUGGCGGACGGGUGAGUAAUGUCUGGGAAACUGCCUGAUGGCGGGGGAUCACUACUGGCAACGGUAGCUAAUACCGCAUACCAUCGGAUUUGCCCAGAUGGGAUUGGCUAGUGGGGGGGGAAAAGGCUCACCCAGGCGACGAUCCCUAGCUGGGCUGAGAGGAGGACCAGCCACAGUGGAACUGAGACACGGUCCAGUCUCCUACGGGAGGCAGCAGUGGGGAAUAUUGGACAAUGGGCGCAGGCCUGAUGCAGCGAUGCGGCGUGUAUGAAGAAGGCCUUGGGGUUGUAAAGUACUUUCAGCGGGGAGGCGUUACCCGCAGAAGAAGCACCGGCUAACUCCGUGCCAGCAGCCGCGGUAAUUC
rnacentral:rRNA from 1 species